GCUGGGAUGGCUCAGUCGGUAAAGAGCGUGAGACUCUUAAUCUCAGGGUCAUGGGUUCGAGACCCAUGUUGAGCA